rnacentral:rRNA from 1 species
UGGGGAAUCUUGCACAAUGGGGGAAACCCUGAUGCAGCCAUGCCGCGUGGAGGAAGACACCCCUACGGGGCGUAAACUCCUUUUCUGCGCGAAGAAACCCCAGUUGUUCUGGGUGUGACGGUACCGCAGGAAUAAGGACCGGCUAACUCCGUGCCAGCAGCCGCGGUAAUACGGAGGGUGCAAGCGUUGUCCGGAAUCACUGGGCGUAAAGGGUGCGCAGGCGGGGCAGCAAGUCGGAGGUGAAAGCCCAUGGCUCAACCAUGGAAGUGCCUUCGAUACUGUUGCUCUUGAGUCCCGGAGAGGUUGUCGGAAUUCGUGGUGUAGCGGUGAAAUGCGUAGAUAUCACGAGGAACACCAGAGGCGAAAGCGGACAACUGGACGGGUACUGACGCUCAGGCACGAAAGCGUGGGGAGCAAACA